rnacentral:rRNA from 1 species
AGUGAACGCUGGCGGUAGGCCUAACACAUGCAAGUCGAACGGCAGCACAGUAAGAGCUUGCUCUUACGGGUGGCGAGUGGCGGACGGGUGAGGAAUACAUCGGAAUCUACUUUUUCGUGGGGGAUAACGUAGGGAGACUUACGCUAAUACCGCAUACGACCUACGGGUGAAAGCAGGGGAUCUUCGGACCUUGCGCGAUUGAAUGAGCCGAUGUCGGAUUAGCUAGUUGGCGGGGUAAAGGCCCACCAAGGCGACGAUCCGUAGCUGGUCUGAGAGGAUGAUCAGCCACACUGGAACUGAGACACGGUCCAGACUCCUACGGGAGGCAGCAGUGGGGAAUAUUGGACAAUGGGCGCAAGCCUGAUCCAGCCAUACCGCGUGGGUGAAGAAGGCCUUCGGGUUGUAAAGCCCUUUUGUUGGGAAAGAAAAGCAGCAGGUUAAUACCCCGCUGUUCUGACGGUACCCAAAGAAUAAGCUCCGGCUAACUUCGUG